AAAUUAUUUCUAGUUUAGUUUUUAUUGUUAAUUUAAAUUAUAUUUAAUUAUUUAGAUGAAAAAUUUAUUUAAAUAAUAAGUUUUUAGAUUUUAGAUUUAAAAAUAUAAUAAUUAAUUUUAUUAAAUUAAAAAAUUUUAAUUUUUAGUAAUAUUAAUAACUUAUAAAUUAAAAUUGUGCCAGCAAUUGCGGUUAAACAAUUUAUAAAAAUAAAAAUUAUUAAAUUUUAAAUAUAAAAAUAGAAUAUUAGAUUUAAAAUAAUUAUUUAAAUUAUUAGGUAAAAUAGAAAAUUUAAAUUUAAGUAUUAUUAAUUAAAUUUUUAAAGUUUUUUAAGGUUGAUUGUAGACUAGGAUUAGAUACCCUAUUAUUCAAAUUAAAUAUUAUAGAUAAAUUUAAUUAGUAAAUAAAAAAAUUUAAAAUUAAAGGAUUUGACGGUAUUUAAAUCAAUUUAGAGGAAUUUGUUUGGUAAUUGAUAUUCCACAAUUUAUUUAACUUACAAUGAAAUAAAAUUUAUAUAUCGUUGUUAUAAAAAUAUUUAUAAAAAAAAUAAUAUUUUAAAAGUUAAAAUUAAAAUUAUAUCAAAUCAAGAUAUAAUUUAUUUGUAAGUACUUAAUGAAUUACAAUAAUAAAAAUUGUUUUAAUUAUUAAUUUAAAUAAUGAAAGGUUUAGUAUUAAUUGGAUUUAAUUGUAAUUAUUAAAUAUUUUUUUUUAAUGAUUUUUGUUUUUAAAUAUGUACAUAUUGCCCGUCACUCUUAUUAGUUUAAUUUAAAUAGUUAAGAUAAGUCGUAACAAAGUAGAGAUAUUGGAAAAUGUUUCUAGAUAGAAAAUUAAAU
rnacentral:ncRNA from 1 species